AUGGAUGGCCUCGAGUUCUUCUUUGAGGAAGCAGAAUCAGGAUUGGUACCCAGGGCUGAUGCGGGUGAUUCGUUGGGUGGAGGAAUCGAUGUUGUGGAGUCUGUGGUUGCUUCCAUCCAUGAAGGGCGCGGGCGCUCCUCUGAUGUGAUUUCUUCCGAGCCGAUGGAUGACAGCAAUGCCAAAGAGCAGUUGAGAGUGGUGGGGGCGAAUCUCGGGUCAUACAACAACGGUGGGAGUGAGAUCGUUGGCGACUCGAACGAUGUGAAGGCUCGGAACACUUCCUCUGCAUCAAUAGGAGAGGAGGGAGAUGCAGAAGGCGUCGUUGUCAACAAAACAAAGGCUUCCUGUUGGACUCGACGGGUAUGCAAAGUCAGGAUUGGCAACACACCAGAAGAGAGGGAUGCCAACCCAAGCAGAGUCCCUGCCCUCGAGGCUUCGAUGAGAGCUUAUGCAGAAAACAAGGGUGGCACAGUUGUUAACCCGUCGCUCGGAACUAGCUUUGACACGGUUGAAGAAGCGUAUGAGUUUUACAACCUAUAUUCCUGGGAGAUGGGGUUUGGCGUUCGGAAACAAAAUGAGGCUUACACUGUCGAUCGGGCACUUGUAGAAACGCUUGCCCUCGUUUUCGCCUUCUUUCCCACUGAUGUUGGUCUCCACCUGAACCUCGCCGCAGUCCGGGCACAUGAUGAGCGGCAAGUGCUGGUGCCUUUGACUGGAACGAACUGA
rnacentral:rRNA from 1 species